rnacentral:lncRNA from 1 species
UGAGCCUCAGACUUUCUUUAACAGGCCUGUCAGACCACAAUGAUCCAGCUGUUUGUGUUAAUGUGACACAUUUAUACGUUUUAUUUAAAAUCUAUUUCACACACAUUUUAUUAUCUGAUAUCUGCGACACACGGAGACUUCCUGUUAAACAGAAAGUAAACUUUGUGCGUGGGCGUGUUUGGGAGCUGCAGGUGUGUCCAGGUGUGGGUUCGUUGGAUCAGCAGAGGAUUUAACGGGACUUUGUGUCGGUUUGAGUUGUUUUUAAAGGAGGAUGAAGACGCUGGUGGUGUUCCUGCUCCUCAUGAACGUUUCCCAGCAUGCCUCGGGUGUGGAGCUGUAUGAGGGGGACUCGUUUAUCCUGCCCUGUCAGUUUCCCACAGAAAGAUUUUUUCGCCCCUCAGUGGUGUGGAGUCGCUCCGACCUCAGUCCUCCAACCGUCCACCAGCGUCAGCUUCAAGGAGACGAAUUGAAAGAUCAAAACCAGCGUUACAGCGGCCGAACAUCCAUGAAGACUGACGCUCUGGAUACUGGAGACCUCAGCCUGAAAUUGACCAACCUCCAACUGUCUGACAGCGCCACCUACACCUGCUCCAUCAGAGACUUUGGAAGUGAACUGAGUCGGAGUGAUGUACAGCUGCAGGUCAAAGGUCAGCAACAAACACCUGCUGUAGACACAUCUGACAUCACUCAGAUAAAACUUUAUCAUUUUAACACUGUCAGAAUAGCCAUGUUAGCUUCAUGUGCAAAGGCCUUUUCAUUAAAUUAAUUCAGUCAAAGGUCAAAGGUCAUGUUGUUCUUUGUGUUCCUCCACAGAACAGUUUCCAUCCUGGGCCAAAGCUCUCCUGGUUCUCCUGGUUCUUCUUGUGGUUUCUGGAGGUCUUUUAUUUCAUUUCCGGCACUAUAUCAUGUCAGGUGAGUGUCUCCUACUACACUACCCAUAAUGCCGAUGGUCAGCAGGUGUCCUCUGGUGGCUCCUUGACUGUGGCUCACACAAACUUGUUCCAGAAGCUGAAAGAGUUGAGAGUUACAAACAGCUGAUACAGAGAGCUGAAGAGAAACUUCCAGGUUUGUUCCAGAAGUCAGAAAACCUCCUUCAGACUCAGUCAUUGAUCAGUGAAACAGCUCCACAACAUGACUUUACUAAACAGUGUGUGUGCUUCACUGCAUUGAUCUGACACAGAGGCUGCAUGUGUACAAGCUGUUCUUUCAUUAUCCACAAUUUAUCCUUGUUAGAGUCUCACUGCAGCAGAAGUUAUAACAAAUACAGCACAUAAUAAUAUAACAGUAAAGAAACAAAUACAAUAUUUCACACAAACAUGUGAAUCAUGUGCAAUAACAGAUCAUUACGAGAGCGUCACACUGACUAAAAGAGCUGUUCUCUCACUUCUUUAAAAAUGACUUAAAACAGCACAAACAGGGAUUUAUAGAUAAAAACCAAGCAAACAGGAAAAUCUGUAGAUAUACAGAGAUGGACAUUUAGCAUCAGCAUACAGAGAACAGUCUGUCAAGCAAUAAAAUAUAAAGCACAAUAAUGGACAGUAUCCAACCUCUUUGGGUACAGGAUUCAUAAAAGCAGAUCACUGUAAUCCAAUAAAUAUUAUGUUACGGGUUUUGUUUGUUUAAGGAAACAAACAAAACUCAAGCGUUGGUCAAUAAAGUAAAACAAAAAGAGAGAGCAGCUGACUAGCUGCAAACCGCAAAAACACAGCUGACUAACUGUAACCAUUCACAUGGCUCACCUGGGCUUAAAUCCCUUUAAUUACUGACAAGAGUCAGCUGCACAAAAGAAAAAGGUGGCACCUAAGGCAGGAGGGAUGGUAGGACACACCCACUCAGACAACUUCAGAAGGAGGCCCUGUUAGAUCAGUAACACCCUUUCCCAUAAAUACAAACCCAUGGUUUGUCAAAUGGUUUUACCUAUUGCAAUAUCCAAAACAAUUAAUCAAGUCUGUAACCGUUGCACCGCCAAAAUUGUACUCUUUCCACCUACCAAACACCAUAGGAAGGGUUAGGCAUUUCCUGCGGAAGCUGCCAACCCCAUCUCAAUAGUUUCAAAAUACUGACAGAGGGUGGCCGCAGACCCUCAAAACAAUGUCCCAUGUGAUAACUAGAGAUGGACCGAUCCGAUAUUACGUAUCGGUAUCGGUCCAAUACUGACGUAAAUUACUGGAUCGGAUAUCGGAGAGAAAAAUAAAAAAUGUAAUCCGAUCCAUUAAAUAUCAAAAAAGCAUCUCACAAAACUUGCGACACGGCGUAACUCGGCCCAUAAACGUAGCACGUUGGAGCAGUAUGCCUCACAUGAUAGAGCGGCUGUGUGUAUUUGGAGCCUCGCUACCAAACCAGCAUUUCAUCUCCGAGGAAGUUAUCCCAGAGAGAAGUAAAGCAAAUGUGUAAGUUCAUCUCUGAAUGUUUGUAAAGCGUUCCAGCGUUAAGCUUAACAACCGAUAUAUGGAGCAACUGCCUCUCUCUCCCUCACCUUCCUGCUGCUACUUCAAUCGUGAAACUGCUUAAUGAUCAACUGAUUGGCUUUUCUGUUGCGAGUCUCUCUUCUUUGUUUUUGGCCCACUUUGCACCAGAAAGAGGAAACCAGCGGCUGAACAACAGCAGCGCGUUUAACCUGUGCAGGGGCGGAUCUAGCAAAGUUUAGCCAGGGGGGCCGAUAGUGCAAAGACAUACUUUUCUUUCUUAUUCUCAUUUAAAAUAUCUAUUUUUUAAUAAAUAAUUAUCUGAAUCUUACACCCAAAGUUUUAAUCUGAUGUAAAAUGUAUAGAAGUCCAUUACUGUAUAUAGUAACUGUUAAGUCUAAUAUACCCUAGUAAGCUAUACUACUUUUUUCUUUGAGAAGAUACCAUCUGUGAAUUCUGCAAUUCUAUUGAAGAAAGAUGCUGAAUCUAUUUAAUUAUUCUUGAAAAAUAAUUUAUUUCUGUGCAUUUUUUCACCCUGCAUCAAAUUAAAGUUGAUUACAUCAAUUAAACAUUAUCAGGUGGAGGGUGGGGGGUGGUUCCCUUUUUUUUUUUUUUGCUGGGAGUUUCCAACCCUAUUAAUUAAUUAUUAAUUUCUGCUAAGUACUCUUUUAAAUACCAGAAUAGGAAGGAUGGAGUAGGUUUAAGUUUAUUAGAUUGAUCAGUGUUGCUGAACUAUGAAAUAUUUUGGGUGCAGUGUAUUUUUUACAUACAGGUAUAACAGAAUAGCUUUAGUGUUGUUGUUUAUUUAAACUUGAGUAUGAACUUAUACAAAAUGCAGCAAUAUAUUAAAAAAACAGUUUUAUUGAUUAAAAAACACUAUAUCGGAUUCAUAUCGGUAUCGGCACUAUAUCCACAUUUAUGAUAUCGGUAUCGGACAUAAAAAAGUGGUAUCGUGCCAUUUCUAGUGAUAACAAGGACUGUUUUGAGCCAUCACAUGUGGAGAACACUGCAGGCAGUCAGAGAAGACCUUACUGGAACAGUUUUCAGGUGGUUCCUCAGGUCAGGGGUACAGGCAUGUUUGUUAGCAAGGGGUGCAGUUCUGAGUGGUGGUUUCAUACAUGAUCUGCCCCCCUGCAAGUCAUUUUGAAGACCUGAGAAAUGGUCAACCAGCAUAGCAUGGCAGCUUAGGGUUAGUUGACCUCUUACACUGACUACAUGACACUACUGAGCAAUUAUGCUCCAAGUGUAGCCUUUUACUAGGCCUGGCAACCUUGUCGGUUUGAGAACCAUGACUGACUUUUUUCAAAGCAGGCUGUUGCUAUGCAUUCAAAUACACUGAAAAAGCUUUGAACACUGGAUUCACAGAAAACUGGAACCAGGUGGAUGUUAUUGCCCACAAACGAGCCUCUAGACACCUGUGCACUGACAUCUGUAUCAUCCAUUUCGGGGGCGGAGAAGGCUUAGCAAACACAUCCUAAUUAGGAGACCACCACACCCCUCUGCCAACUCACUCAGAGACUACCAAACAAUUAACCAAUUAAUGGAGAACUACACAACUUACUUUAACUGACCAACUUACCUCUUGUAGCAUACAUAUUAAACAAACACAACUUACCCAGUUCUAAGCACAGAAGAUACUUACCUAUCUUCUGGAGCGUGCUGGGCUCGAGGCGACUUGAAAGGCAAAGCUUCAGCGACUGGAGCCCUGAAUUGCCUACACCCAACAGGGAACUAAUCCCCACCCAGGAUUACUCCAAAAAUAAGAAAGGCAAAAUAAUAAAAGAGUACCCGAGGGAAAACUUCAAAAGCUCAGCUGGACACUCACCUAACUUAACUGGGAAGUUGUGGAUCUCUAAAGGUGACAAAGCAAGAUAAUCAAAAACCAAAUCCAACUUGAAGCUCCCUUUUCAAAUAUCCGGAAGAGCCCCCACUUGUUACUUCCCCCUCACCGCCUAGACCCCUCAGGGGAACGUAACAAUUAAAAAAAAGAUAUAGAGAAAAGAACAGUGGUCCUAAUAUAAAGCAAUUUGGACACGGUGUUCUAGCUGAUGAGUUAAAAACAAACUCACAGCAUUUGCAGAGACCAACAUUGUUUAGUCUGUUUACUAAACUGACAACUGUGUGAAAAACCUUCAAUAAGCCAAAACAAAGAGCAGCUCAUCAAUGAUGUCGUUCAGCACUUUAACAGCAGCAGUUAUUGGACUGUUUUCUGAAUCCUGACUGAUGCUGAGAGAGAGUUUAAUUUUUGUACAGAACAUUUUUUAGUUGUUCACUAAUAAGAUUUUUGUAAACUUUUACUAAACACACACAAUUUAGAUUCAGGCCUGUAGUUAUGAACAUCUGAAGGAUCGUCUCUUUUCAAAGGGAGAACAUGGACAGGUUUGCAUAUUUCAGAGAUCUCACUGUUCAAAGGCUGAAAUUAAAAAUAUAAGUUAGCACUUCUGCUGUAACAUCUUAUUAAGAAAAUAAGGAUCAAGUUGAUUUAGUCCUGCAGAUUUAUUUGGAUCCAACAGAUUUAAGGUCCUGUGGACCUCCAGGACACUCAGAGGAGAAAAGAUGAAGGACUGAAGCACAGACUGAGUUUGAGUGGUUACAGAGAGCCUCCUGUUCAUUAAGCUGUUUGAAAUCUGAUGUAAAGAUUCAAAUAAAGACCACGAAGAAAUAAAAUGUUCAUUAAAGCAGUUUAAAUGUCACAUUUUUCAGUAAAGUACAUCAGUCUUUUCAAACAAAAGCAGCCAUCUUGAUGGAUAUAUCCUCAUAGUAAGAUUUUAUUAUUAUCCUAAUUUCUAGGUUUUUGUUUGUUUGUUUGUUUGUUUGUUCUUUGUUGGGAUCAUUCAGAUGUUUAGUGUUUUUUGAGAGGCAGAAAAAAGGUCUAAAAAUCAAACAGUCUGCCUCAGAUUUAGUUUCUCUGGUCUGAGCCCAGACAGCAUCUCUUUGUUUAAGGAGGCUGGACAGCUGAGGAGAAACCCCAGCAUUGUUUCUGUGGUUUACUCUAAAUUUAAUGAUGGACACAUGUUUAUUUAUCAAAACAUCAUUGAAGUAUUUCCAUCCCAACUCCUCAUCAGUAAAGAGGUGGAUUCUGUUCCAGCUGUCGUAGAAAGUUUGUUCACAAAAAUUCUUAAAAUCUCGAUUAAAAACUAUUUGAGGAUUUUGGGAGCUUCAGCUGUCUGACUGCAGCGAUCACACAGUGGCCCCUGAUAUCAUUUGGAAAAACAAUA